rnacentral:rRNA from 1 species
UAAAAAUUUAAAUUAGAAAUACUAAAAUAGUAAAUAAUUAUUUAUUAAAACUUAAAUAUUUUGGCGGUAUUUUAGUUUAUUUAGAGGAAUCUGUUUAUUAAUUGAUAAUCCACGAAUAAAUUUACUUAAUUUAUUAUUUUGUAUAUCAUUGUUAAAUAAAUAUUUUUUAAUAAUUAAUAAUAUUUUAAAAUUAUGAAUAAAAAUUAAAUCAAAUCAAGAUGCAGAUUAUAAUUAAGAAUAUAAUGGAUUACAAUAAUUUUAUUUAAAUGAAUUUUAAUUUGUAAUAAUUAAAUGAAGGUGGAUUUAAAUGUAAUUUUAUUUAUUUUAAUAAUUUGAUUAA